AUACGUAGGGGGCUAGCGUUGUCCGGAAUCAUUGGGCGUAAAGCGCGCGUAGGCGGCCCGGUAAGUCCGCUCUGAAAGUCCAGGGCUCAACCCUGGAAAGCGGGUGGAUACUGCCGGGCUAGAGUCCGGAAGAGGCGAGUGGAAUUCCUGGUGUAGCGGUGGAAUGCGCAGAUAUCAGGAGGAACACCAACAGCGAAGGCAGCUCGCUGGGACGGUACUGACGCUGAGGCGCGAAAGCGUGGGGAGCAAACAGGAUUAGAUACCCUGGUAGUCCACGCCGUAAACGAUGGGCACUAGGUGUGGGAGGUGUCGACUCCUCCCGUGCCGACGCUAACGCAUUAAGUGCCCCGCCUGGGGAGUACGGCCGCAAGGCUAAA
rnacentral:rRNA from 1 species